ACUUGGCAGAGUGACCUCAUGCGGGAACGGUUUGGGACGCUGGCAGACUCGCCUGAAGGGAACGGUAGAGGGUAGACGGCGGGGGUUCUUGGGGCCAGAAAUGGUUUAGUCUGUUCUGUAUUAAUAGGAGUAGAUGACUAAACUUCACCCUAUUACUUAAGAUUUAUCCCCACCAAUCACCUAUUGAGACACGAAUUGUUCACCUUUAAGGCAAAUCACCCAUCUCUCCCAGUCUUGAAGGAAUAGCCUUGUGUAGAAGAUGUCAUGUGGAACCCAGAAGCAUAAUCCCUCUGACCACCAAGAUCAGGUGUAUCUGCAACAUGGGGAUAUAUGUCUCCAGAGCCUUCCAUUCUCCUGCUCUAACCUGAAAUGGUUGCUCUCUAAGCUGUUGCAAAGAUAUCUUCCUGGAAUCUCCCUUCACCAGCAGUCUGAGGAUUCCCUUCAUUUAUCUCCUAUGAUGGGUACUCUUUUUCCUGGAUCCUAUGACUUUUUUCUUUAUUUACCCCUCAUUUUGGUAUAGUAUGUCUUCAUUAUCUUGCUGAAAAAUGUGCAUGGUAGGCUCUGCUUUGAGUUUAAAUCCAGGAAAAUCCAACAAAAGCCCACAGAUGUCAUCUGAGAAGGAGAGGAACACUGGGAGACCCACUGCUACACUGUUUAUCAAGUUAACAGACUGUCACCCAGAGAAGCAGAGAAGCAGAAAGCCCUAAAGAAAUGGACAGAUAAAUGUUUUUGUUAUUGGAGUUGAAGAUUUAUU